UCUAAGUAUAACCUGCCAGACAGGGAAACUGCGUACGGCUCAUUACACCAGCCUUAAUUUACUUGACCUUGACAACCUACUUGGAUAACUGUGGUAAUUCUAGAGCUUAUACAUGCACCAAAGCUCCGAUCCUCGCGGAGAGGAGCGCAUUUGUUCGCCACAAAACCAAGCGCCCAUCUGGGCGUCCAGUGCUGAACCAGAACAACUCAGCUGAUCGCACGGUCUUGUACCGGCGACGUGUCUUUCAAGUGUCUGCCUUAUCAACUUUCGAUGGUAGUGUACCUGACUACCAUGGUUGUGACGGGUAACGGAGGAUAAGGGUUCGACUCCGGAGAAGGGGCCUGAGAAAUGGCCACUACGUCUAAGGAUGGCAGCAGGCGCGCAAAUUACCCACUCUCAACGCGAGGAGGUAGUGACGAGAAAUAACGAGACCGUUCUCAUACGAGGCCGGUUAUUGGAAUGGGUACAAUUUAAA
rnacentral:rRNA from 1 species